AGUUCACAGACAUUUUGAUAUUUUUCAAUAAUUUAUAUUUUAUAAACUUUGAAAUAUGAGAUCCAGACAGCUGGUGCUUUCGUGGGGGAAUAAGGUAGCGCAGGACAAAAUGUAGCUAAUUUUCUUUUAUAUGAAAAAAAAAAGGGAAAAAAAGUCAAAUUUAAGGAAUUUAAAUACCUGUCUGCUUAUACAGUUCUGUAUAGAUAAGGCUGAUGCUGGCCCAUCAUUAUCUCCACAAAUAUUU